rnacentral:lncRNA from 1 species
AAAUCCUUAUUAAUAUUAUUAUUAUUGAGGAAAAACUUCAAUUAUCAUCCGUGGUUUCACGCUUUCUUACUUAGUAUCUUACGGUUUAAGGUGUAUCACUUUAGUAUCAUGUGGUUUCCUUUUCUUCUUUCGUCAGCACCUCCAUUAACUUUCCGUUGAAUUAUAUAAAAAAAAAAACCUUCAGAUAUUCUCCUAUUUAUGGUUUAUCAAAUAUUCACUUUGAUAUCUUGUGAUUUACCGAAUUUUUACUUUAGUGUUCUAUACUUUUAACUUUUUCACUGAUUUAAUAAAAAAAUAAACAGAGGGAUAGCGAAAAGAAAAAAAAAAAACUAUAAGGUAGUAAAAUAAUAUGUUUUAAAUUAUAGGAUAUUAAAGUGAGAAAACAUGAAACUAUAGACAUGAUAUUUAAAAUUUUUUCUAUUAUUAAAUAAUGUUUUCCAUCCCACAUUA